AAAUUGAAGAGUUUGAUCAUGGCUCAGAUUGAACGCUGGCGGCAGGCCUAACACAUGCAAGUCGAACGGUAGCACAGAGAGCUUGCUCUCGGGUGACGAGUGGCGGACGGGUGAGUAAUGUCUGGGAAACUGCCUGAUGGAGGGGGAUAACUACUGGAAACGGUGGCUAAUACCGCAUAACGUCGCAAGACCAAAGAGGGGGACCUUCGGGCCUCUUGCCAUCAGAUGUGCCCAGAUGGGAUUAGCUGGUUGGUGAGGUAACGGCUCACCAAGGCGACGAUCCCUAGCUGGUCUGAGAGGAUGACCAGCCACACUGGAACUGAGACACGGUCCAGACUCCUACGGGAGGCAGCAGUGGGGAAUAUUGCACAAUGGGCGCAAGCCUGAUGCAGCCAUGCCGCGUGUAUGAAGAAGGCCUUCGGGUUGUAAAGUACUUUCAGCGGGGAGGAAGGUGUUG
rnacentral:rRNA from 1 species